AUGGUGCUGGACAAGGAGAGGAGCAGGGUCCUUGUAAUUGGUGGCACAGGUCACAUAGGCAAGCGUAUCGUCGCGGCGAGUGCUCGCCGUGGCCACUCGACCUCUGUCCUCAUCAGGGACGUUGCGCCGUCUGAUCCAGCUAAGAUGCAGCUCCUCAAGAGCUUCAUUGAUUCCGGUGUUGCUCUCAUCAAGGGAGAUUUAUUCGACCACGGGAGCCUCGUAAAUGCCAUAAAGGGUGUAGACGUCGUCGUCUCGGCUGUGGGGCCUCGUCAGCUCGUGGAGCAGUCGAGGAUUGUCAUGGCAAUCAAGGAGGCCGGCAAUGUGAAGAGGUUUUUGCCAUCUGAGUUUGGCUCUGACGUAGAGCGGGUUCACACCGUAGAUCCAGCGGCCACAUUGUACGCUGGUAAACUCAGCCUUCGCCGUCUGAUUGAGGCAGAGGGUAUACCUCAUACAUAUGUCUGCUGCAAUGGGUUCGCCGAAACCUACCUUCCGAGCAUCGGCGAUGUUACAGCUGUUGGCGCUGGCCCUCCUUCCGACAAGAUCACCGUCCUAGGCGAUGGAGAUGCAAAAGCGGUGUUUGUGGUGGAAGAAGACAUUGCCACCUACACGGUGAGGGCGGUCGACGAUCCGAGAACCCUCAACAAGAUCCUGUACAUGAGGCCACCGGCGAACAUUGUGUCCCACAACGAGCUCAUCUCGAUGUGGGAGAGGAAAGCGGGCAGGACUUUCCAGAUCGUGCGCAUCCCGGAGGCGGGUCUCCUCAAGUUGAUCAAGGAGGCGGCUUUCCCUCUGAACAUAUUGCUGUCCCUCGCCCUCUCCAUCUUCAUCGGGGGCGACCAGGCCAACUUUGAGAUUGAACCAUCCUUUGGCGUCGAGGCCACCGAGCUGUACCCCGACCUAAAGUACACCACUAUCGACGAGUAUCUCGACCGCCUUCUCUGA
rnacentral:rRNA from 1 species